rnacentral:rRNA from 1 species
AUGCACGCUGGCGGCGUGCCUAAUCCCUGCAAGUCGCGCGAACAGACGAGGAGCUUGCUCCUCUGACGUUAGCGGCGGACGGGUGAGUAACACGUGGAUAACCUACCUAUAAGACUGGGAUAACUUCGGGAAACCGGAGCUAAUACCGGAUAAUAUAUUGAACCGCAUGGUUCAAUAGUGAAAGACGGUUUUGCUGUCACUUAUAGAUGGAUCCGCGCCGCAUUAGCUAGUUGGUAAGGUAACGGCUUACCAAGGCAACGAUGCGUAGCCGACCUGAGAGGGUGAUCGGCCACACUGGAACUGAGACACGGUCCAGACUCCUACGGGAGGCAGCAGUAGGGAAUCUUCCGCAAUGGGCGAAAGCCUGACGGAGCAACGCCGCGUGAGUGAUGAAGGUCUUCGGAUCGUAAAACUCUGUUAUUAGGGAAGAACAAAUGUGUAAGUAACUAUGCACGUCUUGACGGUACCGAAUCAGAAAGCCACGGCUAACUACGU